rnacentral:rRNA from 1 species
CAAUAGCGUAUAUUUAAGUUGUUGCAGUUAAAAAGCUCGUAGUUGGAUUUCGGGUGGGACGCAGCGGUCUCGCAUUGCGUUUGUACUGCUGCAGCCCUCCUUCUUGCCGGGGGCGGCCUCUCGGACUUCACUGUCUGGGGGUCAGAAUCGGCGAUGUUACUUUGAGUAAAUUAGAGUGUUCAAAGCAAGCUCACGCUCUGAAUAUAAUAGCAUGGGAUAACACGACAGGACUCUGGCCUAUCGUGUUGGUCUAUAGGACCAGAGUAAUGAUUAAGAGGGACAGUCGGGGGCAUUCGUAUUCCGUUGUCAGAGGUGAAAUUCUUGGAUUUACGGAAGACGAACAUCUGCGAAAGCAUUUGCCAAGGAUGUUUNCAUUGA